GAUGAACGCUGGCGGCGUGCCUAAUACAUGCAAGUCGAGCGAACAGACGAGGAGCUUGCUCCUCUGACGUUAGCGGCGGACGGGUGAGUAACACGUGGAUAACCUACCUAUAAGACUGGGAUAACUUCGGGAAACCGGAGCUAAUACCGGAUAAUAUAUUGAACCGCAUGGUUCAAUAGUGAAAGACGGUUUUGCUGUCACUUAUAGAUGGAUCCGCGCCGCAUUAGCUAGUUGGUAAGGUAACGGCUUACCAAGGCAACGAUGCGUAGCCGACCUGAGAGGGUGAUCGGCCACACUGGAACUGAGACACGGUCCAGACUCCUACGGGAGGCAGCAGUAGGGAAUCUUCCGCAAUGGGCGAAAGCCUGACGGAGCAACGCCGCGUGAGUGAUGAAGGUCUUCGGAUCGUAAAACUCUGUUAUUAGGGAAGAACAAAUGGGUAAGUAACUAUGCACGUCUUGACGGUACCUAAUCAGAAAGCCACGGCUAACUACGUG
rnacentral:rRNA from 1 species